rnacentral:lncRNA from 1 species
UCCAACAACAGCAACAGCAGCCGAACCUAUUACAACCAACUCAGUUGCAGUCUUCUCAGCAACCUGUUAUGCAAACAUCAUCUGUUAUUCAACCUGCUGUGGUGCAAUCAUCUCUCUCUAGUCUUCAGCUGAAUCAACAAUCUGCAAUUCAACAGUCAACACCAUCUAUGCUUCAGCAGCAUCCACAGUCAGUUCUCAGACAGCCUCAACAACAACGGGCCUCUGUUGUUCACCAACAGCAAACAUCCCAACAGCCAAUAUUUCCCCCACAGCAGCAGCAACAGCAGCAGCUUAUGGUGCAACAGUCAAAUGCUACGAGCUUGUCGCAGAAUCAGCUAAUCAGACAACAAAACAAUGUUGGGGAUAUGCAGCAGCAACAGCAACAACAGAGGUUACUGAGCCAGCAGAAUAACAUUUUAAACCUU